rnacentral:rRNA from 1 species
UGCGUAGGCGGUCGGGUAAGUCUGAUGUGAAAUCUCCGAGCUUAACUCGGAAAUGGCAUUGGAUACUAUUCGGCUAGAGAGUUGGAGGGGGGACUGGAAUACUUGGUGUAGCAGUGAAAUGCGUAGAUAUCAAGUGGAACACCAGUGGCGAAGGCGAGUCCCUGGACAACUUCUGACGCUGAGGCACGAAAGCUGGGAGCAAACA